rnacentral:rRNA from 1 species
AAAUUGAAGAGUUUGAUCAUGGCUCAGAUUGAACGCUGGCGGCAGGCCUAACACAUGCAAGUCGAACGGUAACAGGAAGCAGCUUGCUGCUUCGCUGACGAGUGGCGGACGGGUGAGUAAUGUCUGGGAAACUGCCUGAUGGAGGGGGAUAACUACUGGAAACGGUAGCUAAUACCGCAUAACGUCGCAAGACCAAAGAGGGGGACCUUCGGGCCUCUUGCCAUCGGAUGUGCCCAGAUGGGAUUAGCUUGUUGGUGGGGUAACGGCUCACCAAGGCGACGAUCCCUAGCUGGUCUGAGAGGAUGACCAGCCACACUGGAACUGAGACACGGUCCAGACUCCUACGGGAGGCAGCAGUGGGGAAUAUUGCACAAUGGGCGCAAGCCUGAUGCAGCCAUGCCGCGUGUAUGAAGAAGGCCUUCGGGUUGUAAAGUACUUUCAGCGGGGAGGAAGGGAGUAAAGUUAAUACCUUUG